AUGCAAGUCGAGCGAGAAAGGGAGCAAUCCUGAGUACAGCGGCGUACGGGUGAGUAACACGUGGAUGAUCUACCUCUUAGUGGGGAAUAACUUUGGGAAACCGAAGCUAAUACCGCAUAAGCCUGAGAAGGGAAAGCCGAAAGGCGCUGGGAGAGGAGUCCGCGGCCGAUUAGCUAGUUGGUAGGGUAAAGGCCUACCAAGGCGACGAUCGGUAGCCGGCCUGAGAGGGCACACGGCCACACUGGCACUGAAACACGGGCCAGACUCCUACGGGAGGCAGCAGUGGGGAAUCUUGCACAAUGGAGGCAACUCUGAUGCAGCGACGCCGCGUGAGCGAUGAAGCCCUUCGGAGUGUAAAGCUCUUUCGACGGGGACGAUAAUGACGGUACCCGGAGAAGAAGCUGCGGCUAACUACGUGCCAGCAGCCGCGGUAAUACGUAGGCAGCGAGCGUUGUUCGGAAUUACUGGGCGUA
rnacentral:rRNA from 1 species